rnacentral:lncRNA from 1 species
AAUAAAGAGGCUUAAGAAAAACAUUCUCUUUGUUAUUAAUUCAUACAGAUACAGUCAUAAUGAGACUGAAUGACUCAGAAAGCUAACUGCAAAGUUUGAGAGGCCUAUCUCUUGGUCCAUGAUUUCAGCCUGUUUCAGGUGACCAGUAAGAAGGCUUCAUCAUAUGCUACUCUUGCUACAACUAAAUACUAUUAUCUCUGGAAUCAGAAACACUUUGAUUCAUCACUGAAGAUCUACAUAGAAAUUACGAAGCAAACUUCAGCAAAAUCAAAUGAGUAGCCUGGUUUAGAGAGAAAUAAACAUCAAUGUUAUUACA